rnacentral:rRNA from 1 species
UGGGGAAUUUUGGACAAUGGGCGCAAGCCUGAUCCAGCCAUGCCGCGUGCGGGAAGAAGGCCUUCGGGUUGUAAACCGCUUUUGUCAGGGAAGAAAUCUUCUGAGUUAAUACCUCGGGAGGAUGACGGUACCUGAAGAAUAAGCACCGGCUAACUACGUGCCAGCAGCCGCGGUAAUACGUAGGGUGCAAGCGUUAAUCGGAAUACUGGGCGUAAAGCGUGCGCAGGCGGUUUUGUAAGACAGAGGGUGAAAUCCCCGGGCUCAACCUGGGAACUGCCUUUGUGACUGCAAGGCUUGAGUGCGGCAGAGGGGGGAUGGAAUUCCGCGUGUAGCAGUGAAAUGCGUAGAUAUGCGGNGGAACACCGAUGGCGAAGGCAAUCCCCUGGGCCUGCACUGACGCUCAUGCACGAAAGCGUGGGGAGCAAAACAGGAUUAGAUAGCCCUGGUAGUCC